UUACGCUGUUAUCCCUAAGGUAAUUUAGUCUUAUAAUCAACAAAAAUGGAUCAAAUAUAUAUAAAUAAAUAUAAAAAAAUAAAAAGAGUUAAUUAAAUCUUUCCAUCACCCCAACAAAAUAAAUUUUCAAAUUAAAAAAAUAUCAUACAAAAAAAUAAAAAUAUAUAUAUAAACUCUAUAGGGUCUUCUCGUCCCAAAAAAAUAUUUAGGCAUUUUAACCUAAAAUUUAAAUUCAAUAAAUAAAUUAAAGACAGUUUACACCUCGUCAAACCAUUCAUUCCAGCCUACAAUUAAAAGACUAAUGAUUAUGCUACCUUUGCACGGUCAAAAUACCGCGGCCCUUCAAUACUCAGUGGGCAGGCCAUACAUCAAAAUAUAAUCAAGAAGAGAUGUUUUUGAUAAACAGGCG
rnacentral:rRNA from 1 species